GAUGAACGCUGGCGGCGUGCCUAAUACAUGCAAGUCGAGCGAACGGACGAGAAGCUUGCUUCUCUGAUGUUAGCGGCGGACGGGUGAGUAACACGUGGAUAACCUACCUAUAAGACUGGGAUAACUUCGGGAAACCGGAGCUAAUACCGGAUAAUAUUUUGAACCGCAUGGUUCAAAAGUGAAAGACGGUCUUGCUGUCACUUAUAGAUGGAUCCGCGCUGCAUUAGCUAGUUGGUAAGGUAACGGCUUACCAAGGCAACGAUGCAUAGCCGACCUGAGGGGGUGAUCGGCCACACUGGAACUGAGACACGGUCCAGACUCCUACGGGAGGCAGCAGUAGGGAAUCUUCCGCAAUGGGCGAAAGCCUGACGGAGCAACGCCGCGUGAGUGAUGAAGGUCCUCGGAUCGUAAAACUCUGUUAUUAGGGAAGAACAUAUGUGUAAGUAACUGUGCACAUCUUGACGGUACCUAAUCAGAAAGCCACGGCUAACUACGUG
rnacentral:rRNA from 1 species